AUGGAGGUUGCCAGAAGCGUAGUCUUCGAUAGGACUUGCUAUCCCCCUCUUAUUCCGACAUUCUGCAGUUCAGUCCACAUAUGCUACCCUUUUCCAUUUGAUACCAAUGCAUACAUAUGUAGUGUAGUUCCUUGCUUGCGAGUACUUUGGAUGACUACUCACGGUUGCUUUGCUCCCCCCUUUUCCCCCUUUCCAUACCCGAUUGUUGCGACCAGACGUUGGAGUCCAAGAGCCAUAUGCCACCGUCGACGACGACUCCUACUACUCUGGAGGUGCUUACUACUACGUGCAGGCCGCUGA
rnacentral:rRNA from 1 species